rnacentral:rRNA from 1 species
UACGAAGGGGGCGAGCGUUGUUCGGAUUUACUGGGCGUAAAGGGCGCGCAGGCGGCUAUUUUUGUCAGGCGUGAAAGCCCCGGGCUCAACCUGGGAACUGCGCUUGAUACGGGAUGGCUAGAGAUCGGGAGAGGAGAGUGGAAUUCCCAGUGUAGAGGUGAAAUGCGCAGAUAUCAGGAGGAACACCAAUGGCGAAGGCAGCUCGCUGGGACGGUACUGACGCUGAGACGCGAAAGCGUGGGGAGCAAACAGG